UACGAAGGGGGCUAGCGUUGCUCGGAUUGACUGGGCGUAAAGGGCGCGUAGGCGGUUCGUACAGUCAGACGUGAAAUUCCUGGGCUCAACCUGGGGGCUGCGUUUGAUACGUGCGGACUUGAGUGCGGAAGAGGGUCGUGGAAUUCCCAGUGUAGAGGUGAAAUUCGUAGAUAUUAGGAAGAACACCAGUGGCGAAGGCGGCUCACUGGUCCGGUACUGACGCUGAGGUGCGAAAGCGUGGGGAGCAAACAGG
rnacentral:rRNA from 1 species